UGGACAUUUGGAACGGACUAUGAAUAUGGGGAUAGCGAGACACGAAUGAUCCUGUUUUGAAUGGAAAACUGGAUGUGUUCAUCGGAGAGAUCGCUAACUGGUAUGAGGAGAAUUGUGAUGUACACCCACCACCAACACCACCUCCAUCAACACCACCUCCACCACCUGCAAAACGGCAAGGAGGACAAAGCCCCCACCUGGACCAACACCACCCAGCAAAAGGGAAUUGAAGUUGCAGCGACUUCUGCAAAACUUGUUAAAGUCAAUUCAAUAGAAUUACACAAAAGGAAAUCCCUGACACCUGAUUGACCCGUGGACAAUUCGUUGAUGAAAGAAUUUAUGAGCUUUUGUUUAACUGUAACCUGGUAUUCACAAUGUUAUAUAUACUUACCC